rnacentral:rRNA from 1 species
UCAGAAGGCACACCCGGAGAACUGAAACAUCUUAGUACCCGGAGGAAGAGAAAGAAAAUUCGAUUCCCUUAGUAGCGGCGAGCGAAACGGGAAGAGCCCAAACCAACAAGCUUGCUUGUUGGGGUUGUAGGACACUCUAUACGGAGUUACAAAGGACGACAUUAGACGAAUCAUCUGGAAAGAUGAAUCAAAGAAGGUAAUAAUCCUGUAGUCGAAAAUGUUGUCUCUCUUGAGUGGAUCCUGAGUACGACGGAGCACGUGAAAUUCCGUCGGAAUCUGGGAGGACCAUCUCCUAAGGCUAAAUACUCUCUAGUGACCGAUAGUGAACCAGUACCGUGAGGGAAAGGUGAAAAGCACCCCGGAAGGGGAGUGAAAUAGAACCUGAAACCGUGUGCUUACAAGUAGUCAGAGCCCGUUAAUGGGUGAUGGCGUGCCUUUUGUAGAAUGAACCGGCGAGUUACGAUUUGAUGCAAGGUUAAGCAGUAAAUGUGGAGCCGUAGCGAAAGCGAGUCUGAAUAGGGCGUUUAGUAUUUGGU